UCACGAAAGUGGGCUGUACUAGAAAUCGCCGUGCCAACCGCAAGGAGGCAGGUGCUCAAGGUAUGACUCAUGAUUGGGGUG
rnacentral:rRNA from 1 species